rnacentral:rRNA from 1 species
AGUGAACGCUGGCGGUAGGCCUAACACAUGCAAGUCGAACGGCAGCACAGUAAGAGCUUGCUCUUACGGGUGGCGAGUGGCGGACGGGUGAGGAAUACAUCGGAAUCUACUUUUUCGUGGGGGAUAACGUAGGGAAACUUACGCUAAUACCGCAUACGACCUACGGGUGAAAGCAGGGGAUCUUCGGACCUUGCGCGAUUGAAUGAGCCGAUGUCGGAUUAGCUAGUUGGCGGGGUAAAGGCCCACCAAGGCGACGAUCCGUAGCUGGUCUGAGAGGAUGAUCAGCCACACUGGAACUGAGACACGGUCCAGACUCCGACGGGAGGCAGCAGUGGGGAAUAUUGGACACUGGGCGCAAGCCUGCUCCAGCCAUACCGCGUGGGUGAAGAAGGCCUUCGGGUUGUAAAGCCCUUUUGUUGGGAAAGAAAAGCAGCAGGUUAAUACCCCGCUGUUCUGACGGUACCCAAAGAAUAAGCACCGGCUAACUUCGUG